CGCAGCGAAAGCUGUGCUAAUACCGCAUGAGACCACAAGAUCGCAUGGUCAAGGGGUCAAAGGAGCAAUCCGGUGAAGGGUGGGCUCGCGUCUGAUUAGCUAGUUGGCGGGGUAACGGCCCACCAAGGUAACGAUCAGUAGCCGACCUGAGAGGGUGAUCGGCCACACUGGGACUGAGACACGGCCCAGACUCCUACGGGAGGCAGCAGUGGGGAAUAUUGGGCAAUGGGCGAAAGCCUGACCCAGCAACGCCGCGUGAGGGAAGAAGGUUUUCGGAUCGUAAACCUCUGUCCUUGGUGAAGAGUAAGAGACGGUAGCCAAGGAGGAAGCCCCGGCUAACUACGUGCCAGCAGCCGCGGUAAUACGUAGGGGGCGAGCGUUGUCCGGAAUGAUUGGGCGUAAAGGGCGCGUAGGCGGCCUGCUAAGUCUGGAGUGAAAUUCCUGCUUUCAAGGUAGGAAGUGCUUUGGAAACUGGCGGGCUGGAGUGCAGGAGAGGUUAGCGGAAUUCCCGGUGUAGCGGUGAAAUGCGUAGAGAUCGGGAGGAACACCAGUGGCGAAGGCGGCUAACUGGACUGUAACUGACGCUGAGGCGCGAAAGUGUGGGGAGCAAACAGGAUUAGAUACCCUGGUAGUCCACACUGUAAACGAUGAAUGCUAGGUGUAGGGGGUAUCGACCCCUUCUGUGCCGGAGUAAACACAAUA
rnacentral:rRNA from 1 species